UCCAAGAGUCCACGGACUGCAACUGCAGCCGUUUCAUUGCCAGCUGUGAGGAUGAAGCAGCUUCAUAGCCGGACAUCAGAUGCCUUCCAGCAGUUCCCCUUGUCAGCAGCAGAGGCCGCCGUAUGCUCUUACCUCGAGCUUUUUA
rnacentral:lncRNA from 1 species